rnacentral:rRNA from 1 species
GGCUCAGGACAAACGCUGGCGGCGUGCCUAACACAUGCAAGUCGAACGAAGCACUGCGGAAAGAGACUCGGUCAAUUGAAGCUUGACUUAGUGGCGGACGGGUGAGUAAUGCAUGAGCAACCUGCCCUGGAGAGGGGGGACAACAGCUGGAAACGGCUGCUAAUACCGCAUGAUGUCGUCGGGGGGCAUCCUUUGACGACCAAAGAUUUAUCGCUCUGGGAUGGGCUCAUGUCUGAUUAGAUAGUUGGCGGGGCAACGGCCCACCAAGUCUGCGAUCAGUAGCCGGACUGAGAGGUUGAACGGCCACAUUGGGACUGAGAUACGGCCCAGACUCCUACGGGAGGCAGCAGGUGGGGAAUAUUGGGCAAUGGGCGCAAGCCUGAACCCCAGCAACGCCGCGUGAAAGGAAAGAAGGUCGUUUCGGGUUAGUAAACUUUCUUUUAUCGAGGGACGAAGGAUGUGACGGUACCUGAUGAAUAAGCCACGGCUAACUACGUGCCAGCCGCUGC